GUUUGGAUUGCAGUUUGAGUUUACUCUGUUUACAGGGAAGGGCUGAUUUUCAUUUUACGCAAAUAAACAGUGAUCCUCCCCUAUCAGUUCUUUGCCUCUCAGCACCCUGCUUUUCCCCCGAGAAAAAGAAAUUAAAGUUAUUUCUUAUGGGCUAGACAGUAUAUUGCCAGGUAUUGAAGACAGGAUUUAUCUUCUCUACUUCUUCUUUUAGAAGCAGAUCAAGAAACUGGCGAUUGAAGAGUAACUGAAAGAAACGCAAUCUGAUCUUACUAGCAGUGAAAGAGCGAGUCUCCCUCUGAUGCCGAGCAGAAGCUAGACUGUACUGCUGCCAUCUCAGCUCACUGCAACCUCCCUGCCUGAUUCUCCUGCCUCAGCCUGCUGAGUGCCUGCAAUUGCAGGCGCGCCGCCACGCCUGACUGGUUUUCGUAUUUUUUUGGUGGAGACGGGGAUUCGCUGUGUUGGCCGGGCUGGUCUCCAGCUCCUAACCGCGAGUGAUCCACCAGCCUCGGCCUCCUGAGGUGCCGGGAUUGCAGACGGAGUCUGGUUCACUCAGUGCUCAAUGGCGCCCAGACUGGAGUGCAGUGGCGUGAUCUCAGCUCGCUACAACCUCCACCUCCCAGCCGCCUCCCUUGGCCUCCCAAAGUGCAGAGAUUGCAGCCUCUGCCCGGCCGCCACCCCGCCUGGGAAGUGAGGAGCGUCUCUGCCUGGCCGCCCAUUGUCUGGGAUGUGAGGAGCCCCUCUGCCUGGCUGCCCAGUCUGGAAAGUGAGGAGUGUCUCUGCCUGGCCGCCAUCCCAUCUAGGAAGUGAGGAGCGCCUCUUCCCGGCCGCCAUCCCAUCUAGGAAGUGAGGAGCCUCUCUGCCCAGCCGCCCAUCGUCUGAGAUGUGGGGAGCGCCUCUGCCCCGCCGCCCCGUCUGGGAUGUGAGGAGCGCCUCUACCCCGCCGCGACCCCGUCUGGGAGGUGAGGAGCGUCUCUGCCCGGCGGCCCCGUCUGGGAAGUGAGGAGACCCUCCGCCCGGCAGCCGCCCCAUCUGAGAAGUGAGGAGCCCCUCUGCCCAGCAGCCACCCUGUCUGGGAAGUGAGGAGCGUCUCUGCCCAGCAGCCACCCCGUCUGGGAGGGAGGUGGGGGGUCAGCCCCCCGCCCGGCCAGCCGCCCCGUCCGGGAGGUGAGGGGCGCCUCUGCCCGGCGGCCCCUACUGGGAAGUGAGGAGCCCCUCUGCCCGGCCAGCCGCCCCGUCUGGGAAGUGAGGAGCGUCUCCGCCCAGCAGCCACCCCGUCCGGGAGGGAGGUGGGGGGAUCAGCCCCCCGCCCGGCCAGCCGCCCAGUCCGGGAGGGAGGUGGGGGGGUCAGCCCCCCGCCCGGCCAGCCGCCCCGUCCGGGAGGUGAGGGGUGCCUCUGCCCGGCCGCCCCUACUGGGAAGUGAGGAGCCCCUCUGCCCGGCCAGCCGCCCGGUCCGGGAGGGAGGUGGGGGGGUCAGCCCCCUGCCCGGCCAGCCGCCCCGUCCGGGAGGUGAGGGGCGCCUCUGCCCGGCCGCCCCUACUGGGAAGUGAGGAGCCCCUCUGCCCGGCCACCACCCCGUCUGGGAGGUGUACCCAACAGCUCAUUGAGAACGGGCCAUGAUGACAAUGGCGGUUUUGUGGAAUAGAAAGCGGGGAAAGGUGGGGAAAAGAUUGAGAAAUCGGAUGGUUGCCGUGUCUGUGUAGAAAGAGGUAGACAUGGGAGACUUUUCAUUUUGUUCUGUACUAAGAAAAAUUCUUAUCCUGUUGAUCUGUGACCUUACCCCCAACCCCGUGCUCUCUGAAACAUGUGCUGUGUCCACUCAGGGCUAAAUGGAUUAAGGGCGGUGCAAGAUGUGCUUUGUUAAACAGAUGCUUGAAGGCAGCAUGCUCGUUGAGAGUCAUCACCACUCCCUAAUCUCAAGUAACCAGGGACACAAACACUGUGGAAGGCCGCAGGGUCCUCUGCCUAGGAAAACCAGAGACCUUUGUUCACUUGUUUAUCUGCUGACCUUCCCUCCACUAUUGUCCUAUGACCCUGCCAAAUCCCCCUCUGCGAGAAACACCCAAGAAUGAUCAAUAAAAAAAUAAAAUAAAAUAAAAUAAAAUAAAAUAAAUAAAGUUUCAUGCGCAUCCGUGUGAAGAGACCACCAAACAGGCUUUGUGUGAGCAGCAUGGCUGUUUAUUUCACCUGGGUGCAGGCGGGCUGAGUCCGAAAAGAGAGUCAGCCAAGGGAGAUAAGGGUGGGGCUGUUUUAUAGGAUUUGGGUAGGUAAAGGAAAAUUACAGUCAAAGGGGGUUUGUUCUCUGGCGGGCAGGAGUGGGGGCCGCAAGGUGCUCAGUGGGGGUGCUUUGAGCCAGGAUGAGCCAGGAAAAGGAGUUUCACAAGGUAAUGUCAUCAGUUAAGGCAAGGACCGGCCAUUUACACUUCUUUUGUGGUGGAAUGUCAUCAUUAAGGUGGUGCAGGGCAUAUUCACUUCUUUUGUGAUUCUUCAGUUACUUCAGGCCAUCUGGGCAUAUACGUGCAGGUCACAG
rnacentral:lncRNA from 1 species